AUUGAGUCUGGUCCUGGCUUUAAAUGAACGCUAGUAGUAUGCUUUACACAUGCGAGUUAAAUUUGUUUAGCGCACGGGUGAGGAAA
rnacentral:rRNA from 1 species